rnacentral:sRNA from 1 species
AAAUGUCAUUUUUCAUAUCAGACCCUUUAUCGGCCCUGGUACAUGAUAUCAUCCUUCGAGCCUGCGGCUCUUGGGCGAUAUCAUGACCUAGGGCCGAUAAAGGGUCUGAUAUGAAAAAUGCCAUGUAAUAAUC